rnacentral:rRNA from 1 species
AGUCGAACGGUAACAUUUCUAGCUUGCUAGAAGAUGACGAGUGGCGGACGGGUGAGUAAUGCUUGGGAACUUGCCUUUGCGAGGGGGAUAACAGUUGGAAACGACUGCUAAUACCGCAUAAUGUCUUCGGACCAAACGGGGCUUCGGCUCCGGCGCAAAGAGAGGCCCAAGUGAGAUUAGCUAGUUGGUAAGGUAACGGCUUACCAAGGCGACGAUCUCUAGCUGUUCUGAGAGGAAGAUCAGCCACACUGGGACUGAGACACGGCCCAGACUCCUACGGGAGGCAGCAGUGGGGAAUAUUGCACAAUGGGGGAAACCCUGAUGCAGCCAUGCCGCGUGUGUGAAGAAGGCCUUCGGGUUGUAAAGCACUUUCAGUUGUGAGGAAAAGUUAGUAGUUAAUACCUGCUAGCCGUGACGUUAACAACAGAAGAAGCACCGGCUAACUCCGUGCCAGCAGCCGCGGUAAUACGGAGGGUGCGAGCGUUAAUCGGAAUUACUGGGCGUAAAGCGCACGCAGGCGGUUUGUUAAGCUAGAUGUGAAAGCCCCGGGCUCAACCUGGGAUGGUCAUUUAGAACUGGCAGACUAGAGUCUUGGAGAGGGGAGUGGAAUUCCAGGUGUAGCGGUGAAAUGCGUAGAUAUCUGGAGGAACAUCAGUGGCGAAGGCGACUCCCUGGCCAAAGACUGACGCUCAUGUGCGAAAGUGUGGGUAGCGAACAGGAUUAGAUACCCUGGUAGUCCACACCGU